rnacentral:rRNA from 1 species
AACGAACGCUGGCGGCAUGCCUAACACAUGCAAGUCGAACGAGACCUUCGGGUCUAGUGGCGCACGUGUGCGUAACGCGUGGGAACCUGCCCUUAGGUUCGGAAUAACUCCCCGAAAGGGGUGCUAAUACCGGAUAAUCUCUUCGCACCAAAGAUGUAUCGCCUUUGGAUGGGCCCGCGUUGGAUUAGCUAGUUGGUAGGGUAAAAGCCUACCAAGGCGACGAUCCAUAGCUGGUCUGAGAGGAUGAUCAGCCACACUGGGACUGAGACACGGCCCAGACUCGUACGGGAGGCAGCAGUGGGGAAUAUUGGACAAUGGGCGAAAGCCUGAUCCAGCAAUGCCGGGUGAGUGAUGAAGGGGUUAGGGUUGUAAAGCUGUUUUACCCGGGAUGAUAAUGACAGUACCGGGAGAAUAAGCUCCGGCUAACUACGUG